GUUGGGCGGAGGGGCCUGAAGGGCCAAGUCUAGCACCAGGUGGCUAGGGGGAAUUGUUGGGCGGAGGGGCCUGAAGGGCCAAGUCCAGCACCCUGCCUCUC